rnacentral:rRNA from 1 species
CCACCACCCUGAACGCUCCCAAUCUCGUCUGAUCUUGGAAGCUAAGCAAGGUCAGGCCUGGUUAAUUUGGAUGGA